rnacentral:lncRNA from 1 species
CUGAGUAUGUAUCAUUAAGUCCCAUGAAAAAUUUGAUGAGCGUACCAUAUUGAAGGGUUUUUAAAGUUCUUGACUUUCCACCACAAUUACAUUCAUAGGUAUUCAAGGAUCUAAAUCAUCCUAUGUCACGGCCUAGAAUUCUCACCUUUGGGAUCAUGAUGGAGCCAAACAUUUCACUUGUUUGGCAAACCAACGUUAGAGAAUCUAUAAGCGCAUUUUCAUUCAAUUUCAAUAAAUAAGUCCAAUUAAACCUGUAAAUACCCAACUGGUAGUUUUGAGAAAUUGCAUCCUGUACGGUAACUUGAGGUCUCGAGCAGCUUCAUAUUAUAUAUAUCGGCUUACGUGUGCAAUCCGAGUGUGAAAUCGGAAAGCUUUUAAGUCAAAAUAUGAAAAAUAUAGUAAUUUCUAGAGUUAAAAUCUAGUUUUUAGUUGACUUUCUUCAAUAUUUUUGGUAAAUGGAUCAAGUUCUGUAUCCUAACAAUCCCGAGAAGUUUGAGGUAAAAUAUGGAACUUGGUCAUAUUCCCAAAGUUGAAUUCCGAGGUCCCUGGCUUAAGAAAAUAAUUUUUAAAGAAAAUUAUUGUGCUGGUUGUGAAAGGAAAUAAAGAAAUUAAUUAAUAUUUGAAAUCGUAAGUAUCGAGCCCGUAUUUUGGUAACCGAGCCUGGUAAUAGGGCUUUAUGAUAUUUAAGUCCUAUCUGUAAAAUUUGGUGAGAACUGGAAUUGAUUUGACGUGAUUUGGAUGUCCGGCUGAAAAAUUAGAGAAUUUGAGUGUCCUUCAGAAAAUCGUGAGUUUUGAGGUUAAAUUCGUAAUUUUUUAUGUUAUUUUGAAGAUUUGAUCGUACCGAUCAAGUCUGCAUGAUAUUUUUAAACUUGCGUGCAUGUUUGGUUUGGAGCCCCAAGGGCUUAGGUGAGUUUCAGAUAGGUUUAGGCUGUGUUGCGCUUGUUUUUGGAUGCUUCAUUAUUGUUUAUUCAUGUUAAAAUAAUGCCACAUUAAUCAAAUUAUAUCCAAAUUCAGUUUUCUUUAAAUCAUUCUAUCCGUAUAGAAACUAUGAAGCCAUAGGUAAAAGAAUCAUCGAAUUUGGACAUUGUAUGAGGAAGUUAUGCUCAUUUUCGUGUCAAGAAAAAUUGCUAGUUUCAAGUGUGUUCACAAAUGCAAACUUUUUCAUCGCACUUGCGGUGCCCAGUUUGAAAAUGCUAUCCUUUUGUCGCAAAUGCGACGUUUCCAGCCCUGCUUUGUUCGCAAUUUGUAAGACUUUGUAAUUGCGAACCCUGGGUCGCAAAUGGAACAUCUGAGGCCUAUUAAGUGAGUUUUUGAUGAGAUUUUCAACUAUUUUUAUAAUUUUCUCAAACUCUAAACCUCCAUGGGCCGAGUGUUGAUGAUUUCGUAAAGGAAAAGCUAAAUUGAGCAUUGAAUUUUCUUGAUUGAAGUAAGUAUCUUGCUUAACCUUGUGUGGAGGACUUCCCCUUAGGAUUUGAGUCUUCUAUUCUAAUUGUUGUUCAUGCAUGCGAGGUGUCAAGUGUGUGCUUGUACUUAUUUAUGGAAAAUUUGCCUCUAGGGUUUUUAGGUCGUUAUGUUCAUUAUAUGGAAAGUAUCUCGUUGUGGUUGGUUUCCUAAUUUCUUAAAUUGCCUCUAUAUGCUCAUUAGCUUUCCUCUAAUUCGUACGUGUUACUUGACCCUUAAUUCUCUUAAUUUACCUUCCUUAUUAUUUUGAUACUUCUUGAUUGUGAGUUUCCUUUAUGACUACGUGUAAAUAUGCUACAAAUCCAAUUAUUGUGGUUACCGAUGUAAUUAUCACAUGCUUAUAUGUCUAGUUAUUUUGUUUAGGUUAUCGUGCUUCGUGAUUUUUCCGUGAUCCUUAUUAUGUACUAUUCUUGUUUAAAUUGACGAUUAUUCAUGUCAAAUAAGACUUAUGACAUUCUCUUGGUAGUUUUCCACUGUUAAGUAUUGACUCGAGUUGAGAUCUAUAUUGUGAAGCUAACUGUUGAAACAAGAUUGGUUAUUGUUGAUUCCCUUGCCGGGAGGUCAUUGUUUCUAUUAUUGAUUCCCUUGCUAGGAUGUUAUUGUUUCUAUUGUUGACUGCCUUGCCGUGAUGUUAUUGUUUCUAUUGUUUGGGAGAUGAAGAGUGUGAAGCACGUAGGGUGAUGACAUGCAUGAUAUUGUGAGAGAGAGUUAAAGCACGAAGGGUGAUGCCAUGCACAUUUCUAUUUAGGCAUAUUGCGAGGAAGAGUAUAAAAGCACUAAGGGUGAUGCCCUGACCCAUUAUUGAGAGUAAAAACACGAAGGGUGAUGCCGUGCAUGAUAUUAUGAGGAAGAGCGUAAAGCAUGAAGGGUGAUGUCGUGCACAUUUCUAUUUAUGCAUAUUGUGAGGAAGAGUGAUAAUGCACGAAGGGUGAUGCCAUGCACUUUCUUUUUGUUGUGCUUCCUUGUAGUUAUCAAUUCAAGAGCUUUAAUUGUUCAAAUUUCUUUAUUGUCGUGGCCCUUGUAAUGGAACCUCAUAGAGUGUUCAAUACUUCGCCGUAUUUACAUAUAUAUUUCAAUACAUCAAAUUUUUAAUACUUGUUUUAUUUUUUUAUUCUAUUAGUUACUCAAUUAAAUUCACUUAAACCAUUUGAGGUUGUAUUUUACUUAAAAAGGAAUUUCUACAAAGUUAAUUCCUUAAAUC